CAAGCCCAGAGCGAGAACUCGUCAGUAAAGAAAGUUCAGUGAUCGUCAGCUGCCCAGAAAUAAACAUCAGGGGCCAAAAGCGGGCAGGGCUGAGCAGGGGCUGCUGACAGCUGUGGCCGGAGGGCAGAGGCAGAGGGAAAGGGUUCCAGGCUGGAAUUCGGAGCGUGCCCACAUCAGCAGAAAAGUUCCUGGGAACAGCAGCACUCCGUCUGGGAGGGACCCUGUGGGUGUCAGGAUGCACGCGCUCUGAGAUGCAGGGACCAACGGUCGGUCGUUAGAGGAAGCCCCGGCUCCUCUUUUCCCGGCUCCCCGCGGAGUUAAGGCGUCUUCGACAGACGACAAAAGUAAAAGAUCUGCUCCCAGGAUGGCUGAAGGCCCACCUGCAGGAGCUUGCUCUUCCUUCUUGGCCUACCUGUAAUGCUGAGUUUCUGCUCCAUGAGUUAUCCUGCCAGACGCAGAUGUUUCCUAUAUCCACGACAGUGCCAAAGCAGCUACCACAGGUGUCCCAGUCUGACCUCACAGACUUCCAUCAAGCUGGACCUGCACUUUCCCUUCCAGCCAUGGAUGUUCUCAUAGACCCUGUACAGCUUCAAAACAGCCUGUUCUUCCUGGACUUGGCCAGCAUUUCAACCUUUUGACCUCCCUACAGCGCCCCCAGUGUCAGCAGGAAGUAGCCAGAAGAGAAUCUACGCCCAGUAUUCACUCAUUAACAAAAGGCUGGAAUGGUGUGCUUCAGGACCAGGACAAGUAGCUCCAGGUUCUCCCAGUAUUCUUCAGUCCCUACCUGCUUCCUUGUGUGGCUGGCAAUUCUCUACUGGCACACUUUACCCUGAACUUUCCAGGGCAGGGGCUUCCCCAACUCUGCUUGACCAUGUAAUCUGGACAUUUUGUUGCUAUUACUUUUUUCUCUUUCUUAGCCCCUUGCAUGGCAACCAAGUGCUGCUUCCAAUGAACCUAAAUCUAUAUACUUUAACUUUCCUUACAUGAAAAGCAGCCCAAGCUCCUUAUUUUUCAAUUAUAGAAAAAGGGAGGAAUGUUAUUAUUUAGGCAGCCUGCUUCUGGGUUGCCUAGCAACCUAUGACAUCAUCAUGUGUCACCAGCCAGAUAGCCACACCUGGCAGGCAUGGUAAAGUUUCUCCUUAAAAGGAUCAACCAGCCACUUUGUCACUCUCUUGCCCAUUCCACUUUCUCUGUUGGAGCACCCCUUCCCUUCCCCCUAUCAUGUCUUGCUCUCUCUUUCUCUCGCUCUCUCUCUUCAUCUC